UACGGAGGGUGCGAGCGUUGUCCGGAAUCAUUGGGCGUAAAGGGCGCGUAGGUGGCCCGGUCAGUUCGUGGUGAAAGCGCGGGGCUCAACCCUGCGUCGGCCAUGAAUACUGCCGCGGCUGGAGCACUGUAGAGGCAGGCGGAAUUCCGGGUGUAGCGGUGAAAUGCGUAGAUAUCUGGAGGAACACCGGUGGCGAAGGCGGCAUCCUGGACUACUACUGACGCUGAGGAGCGAAAGCCAGGGGAGCAAACGGG
rnacentral:rRNA from 1 species